UACAGAGGGUGCAAGCGUUAAUCGGAAUUACUGGGCGUAAAGCGUGCGUAGACGGUUAUGUAAGUCGGGUGUGAAAGCCCCGGGCUCAACCUGGGAACUGCAUUUGUGACUGCAUCGCUGGAGUGCGGCAGAGGGGGAUGGAAUUCCGCGUGUAGCAGUGAAAUGCGUAGAUAUGCGGAGGAACACCGAUGGCGAAGGCAAUCCCCUGGGCCUGCACUGACGCUCAUGCGCGAAAGCGUGGGGAGCAAACAGG
rnacentral:rRNA from 1 species